CUCUUCCUGGCAGAAGAUGGGAGCCGGGGCAGUGCGGAGUUCCCCUUCCUUUCCCCGCAGCGCUCCGCAGGACGCGCCUGGUGCUGAAGGAACAGCUCCGCUGCGCGCCGCGGACCGGGGCCGCCCGCUGCGCCCCGAGGGCAAGGGGGAUCCGGCGGCUGCGGCCCGCACCGCACAGCCCGCCCCGCCCCGCAGCACCGCCCCCUCCUCUCCGCUCCGCGCCGCACCGCUUUUCCCGCCCGCGGGGCAGCGCGCGCAGCGUGUGGCGGUGAGAGGCGCUGGGCGGUGAGAGGCGCUCGGUGCUGCGGGGAGGCGCAGUUGCGCGCGCGCCACCGCCUCGGCGCUGCCCCCCCACCAUGGUCCCCUCCCCGCCUGGCCCGACCCCACGUGACCCGCGCGGGCCAAUGGGCUGGCGGGGCGGCGGGGAUCCGGCUGGAACCGGUUGGGCCGCGUCCGGCUCUAUAUAAAACUUUAUAAACACCCGAUUCAAAUUAGUGGGGUCGGCACCAGCGCAGCGAGCCGGCCGACAGCCGCGCCGCCCCGCUCUCCCCCCUCGCCCUCCCCGCUUCUCGCCGCCACCGAGCGGAGCCGGCCGCCCGUCCCCCCCCCCCUCCGCUCGCCGUCAUCCUCGCGCGAACCACCGCACGCGCCGCCCGGAGCUAUGCGAAGAGAAGGUACGUGGCACCGCGAGGCCCGCUCCCCGCGCGUUGUUUGUGGGGGGGGGUGAGUGUGGGCAGGACUUGGCACCUCACCCUCCCUUUCCCUCCGCGCUCCCCCCCCCCCAACCAUGCCCGCCUUCCUUUGGGGAGGUAACGGCCGCGCGGCUCCGGCGGCCGCGGGGUGUUGGGGCGGUUUGCGGGGUGGGGCGGGCGUUGGGACCGUUACCGGCCGCGCUGUGGUAACUAACGGCCGGGAGGGGCGGGGCGCGGCGCGGGCCGGUCGGAGCCGGCUGCUUUUGGCGGGAGGGCGGGAUGAGGGGGGAGGGGCGGCCCGGCCCGGCCCGGCCUGGCCUGAGGAAAGGGCGGGAAGCGGCCGCGCACCGUCAGCCCGCUUUGCCGCCGCCGCCGCUUUGCCGCCAAAACCGCCGCCCGUGGGCGGGAGAGCGGAGGAGCCUCCCCGGAGGGGCCCUCCUGGAGGCGGGCAGGGGGCGCGGCCGCGCAUCCGCCGGGCCUCGCGCUGCCCCCGGCCCCAAACGGGGGUGAGGGAGCCCCCCAGCGCCCCCCUGCGGCGGGGCGGACCGGUGCGGCGCUCCCCGCCCCACAGACUUGUUGGCACGGCUCUUGUCUCACCCCGCAGGCUGAAGGAGAUACCAAGGGCGAUAAGGCCAAAGCGAAGGAUGAGCCACAACGGAGAUCGGCAAGGUUAUCUGCUAAACCUGCCCCUCCGAAGCCAGAGCCUAAACCUAAAAAGGCAGCUCCAAAGAAGAGUGAGAAGGUGCCCAAGGGAAAGAAGGGGAAAGCUGAUGCUGGCAAGGAGGGAAACAACCCUGCAGAAAACGGAGAUGCCAAAACAGACCAGGCACAGAAAGCCGAAGGUGCUGGUGAUGCCAAGUAAAAUGUGUGAAUUUUUGAUAACUGUGUACUUCUGGUGA
ensembl:lncRNA